UUCCUGCAGUCAGAGUUGGGGACGAAGUCCGGCUCCCGUAGGAGUCUGGAUGAAGUCUAGAAGGUGGUCGAUCAUCAUGAAAACUUGGGUGGAGUCCAUCCAUCGUGAAGAAUCCGAUCGACGCUGGUGGGGGUUUAUCCGUCGGCAGAACCUGGGAAUGUUGCGGAGGCUCGACCGUUAGAGAGGUUCGGAAAGAUGUCACU
rnacentral:lncRNA from 1 species